UCCCUUAGAUGUUCGGGGCCGCACGCGCGCUACACUGAAGGAAUCAGCACGUCUUUCUCCUUGUCCGAAAGGACUGGGUAACCCGCUGAACCUCCUUCGUGCUAGGGAUUGGGGCUUGUAAUUCUUCCCCAUGAACGAGGAAUUCCCAGUAAGCGCGAGUCAUAAGCUCGCGUUGAUUACGUCCCUGCCCUUUGUACACACCGCCCGUCGCUACUACCGAUUGGAUGGUUUAGUGAGAUCCUCGGAUUGGUCCCGGCGCGGCCUCUGGUCGUGCCGGAGUGCCGAAAAGAAUGUCGAACUUGAUCAUCUAGAGGAAGUAAAAGUCGUAACA
rnacentral:rRNA from 1 species